rnacentral:rRNA from 1 species
GACGAACGCUGGCGGCGUGCUUAACACAUGCAAGUCGAACGGACAGGCCCUGCUUUUGUGGGGUGCUCGAGUGGCGAACGGGUGAGUAACACGUGAGUAACCUGCCCUUGACUUUGGGAUAACUUCAGGAAACUGGGGCUAAUACCGGAUAGGAGCUCCUGCUGCAUGGUGGGGGUUGGAAAGUUUCGGCGGUUGGGGAUGGACUCGCGGCUUAUCAGCUUGUUGGUGGGGUAGUGGCUUACCAAGGCUUUGACGGAUAGCCGGCCUGAGAGGGGUACCGGCGACAUGGGGACUGAGAUACGGCCCAGAAUCCUACGGGAGGCAGCAGUGGAGAAUAUGGCACAAUGGGCGGAAGCCUGAUGCAGCAACGCCGCGUGCGGGAUGACGGCCUUCGGGUGGUAAACCGCUUUCGCCUGUGACGAAGAGUGAGUGACGGUAAUGGGUAAAGAAGCACCGGCUAACUACGUG